UUUUGAAUCAAUAAUUUAUUGAAAGAGUCUCAACAACCAGAGCUCAGCUCCAACCUCCCAACUUGCGCAAUGGCGGGGAAUUUUGAGGUACUGUGAAUUGAUCGAAUUUACGUCGGGGAGUUCUAUGAAGUUCGCGGCCAAUCGGUUCGAGAUCUUCUCUGGCAAGCUCUAGGUUUUGGCAAUGGCAGCCUCGAGGAAUGGUCAAAUUGAUGGCUGAGAAUCGGUAAAUUGGGAUUUUCAUUCAUUUUUCUUUACAACGAAACAUGAAAUUGACUGCGUGUUUUCUUUAAUUUUGGAAUAGUUUGAGGAUUUGACUUGUAACCGCCCCUUCACCACUACUAGAUAUGGUAUCUUUAGGCUU